rnacentral:rRNA from 1 species
UAUAAUUUUAGGUCUAACCUGCCCAAUGAUUGAUUUAAUGGCCGCGGUAUAUUGACUGKGCAAAGGUAGCAUAAUCAUUAGUUUUUUAAUUGAAAGCUUGUAUGAAAGGUUUGAUGAAAGGAUUUCUGKCUCUAUAAAAAUUAAUUARAAUUUUAUUUUUAAGUAAAAAAGCUUAAAUUUGCAUAGAAGACRAGAAGACCCUAUAGAGUUUAAUAUUUCUAAUUAAAUAAAAAUUUAAAGAAAAAAUUAAAAUUUAWUUARAAAUAUUUUGUUGGGGCGAUAAAAAAAUUAAAURAACUUUUUUUGUUUUUAUACACUUGUUUGUGAAUGAUUGAUCCUAAAAUUUAGAUUACAAGAAUAAAUUACCUUAGGGAUAACAGCGUAAUUUUUUUUAGAGUUCUUAUCGAAAAAAAAGUUUGCGACCUCGAUGUUGGAUUAAAAUUUAUAGUUGGUGAAGGAGCUGAUAUAUUAGGUCUGUUCGACCUUUAAAAUUUUACAUGAUCUGAGUUUAGACCGGCGUGAG